GGAACAGUACGUGUGGUGUAAUGCAGAGGGCCCCUCUGUUCUCAGCCGUUCGUGCACAUUCCACUGGUGCUUGAGGAUGUUUUCUCAAGCACUGGUGGGAAUGCUGGGUGGAAAUACUCUGAUGUAUUGACUUGGAGCACCAUUUCUUUAUUCUCAAAGCCAUGCCUUUGAAGAAAGAAAACUUCUGUGUUUGCCCCUGAAAGUGUUUGUAUGCAGUGAAAUCAAAAUAGAAGAUUUCCAGGAUUUAAUUUCCUAUUUGCCACAUUGAUAGUCAAUAGAAUCAAAAACAAAGAAGUCAUCUGCACAGCUGCAAUAUGACAUAAAGAAAGUUGAAUCGGCAUUAUGCCCUCCCAGCCUUCUUGGAAGACAGAUCUCCUGGAUGAAGUGACCUGAAAUUCAGAGUUAAAGAAGCUUUGUAUUCCAAAGUCCAAAUCAAAUCAAUUGUAUUAAAAACAAAACAAAAAACAAAACAAAACAAAACAAAACAAAAAAACCACACCAACCAACCAACCGAACAAGCAAAACCCAAAAAUAAACAGAGAACAACAAAAUCACCAUAAAUAAAUACAUUUUAAAAGCCCUCUGACUUCUGAGAGGUUUGUACAGGUUCACAUUAUAUGCCUGGAACUAGAUUUUGGUGUUUGUACCAAUCUGUUUACUUGAAAUUUAUUAUUCAGUUAUUAACUUUCUCUGUGGGCUUUGUAAAAUUUGAA